rnacentral:rRNA from 1 species
GACGAACGCUGGCGGCGUGCCUAACACAUGCAAGUCGAACGGGGUGAUUUCCUUCGGGAGAUCACUUAGUGGCGAACGGGUGAGUAACGCGUGAGAAACCUGCCUUUCAGUGGGGGACAACAGUUGGAAACGACUGCUAAUACCGCAUAAUGUAUCGAUGGGGCAUCCUGUUGAUACCAAAGCUUUAUGUGCUGAAAGAUGGUCUCGCGUCUGAUUAGCUAGAUGGCGGGGUAACGGCCCACCAUGGCGACGAUCAGUAGCCGGUCUGAGAGGAUGAACGGCCACAUUGGGACUGAGACACGGCCCAGACUCCUACGGGAGGCAGCAGUGAGGAAUAUUGGGCAAUGGGCGCAAGCCUGACCCAGCAACGCCGCGUG